GAAGCGUGGGGCGGUGGCGAGUCCCUGCUCGCCGCGGUCCGCCGCCGGCGGGGGCCUCGGCUCCUGCCCCCACGGAAAUGCCGGCCGUGGCACCGCCCGCGUCCCGCUCGGUUUACCGGCCCGUGCAAUGGGUCGAGGUCGUGCGCCACCGGACCCAGAACAGGGCGUUUCUUCGGCACGCACUGUCAAGCGCCUCCUGUGCGCAAGGCGCGCGAGUGGAGGGCGCCGGCGCCGGGGCCGGAAAGCCAGCACUUGGUGGACACUUUGAACCGUGCUCCUGGGCUGAGGCCCGUUCCCCCGGGCUAGCUUCUCGAGCCCUGCCUCGUGCCAGAGGUUUCGAGGACCGUGCUUACCCCUACUGUGCACCACCUGCUGUUGGGCGCCCCGGGGGAGGAGAAACGUGGACCCCGAGCCCCAGGACCUCCUCUCGUUCUCCGGAGGGAGAAGCCAGUAAACUGAUGAAAAUGACCCUAAGCGUCACUAUAAGAUUUGGAUCUCUCUGGCUCCGCGCAAGGAUUGGACUCAGGGACUGGGCAGAGGCAGGACUCCGGCAGGCCGUGCUGCAAUAGCCCAGUCUGCUCGCGUCCUGUGAGUACCUGUCACAUCCACAGUGCACACUUCUGUGUUCCAGAACAAGAGGAUUCACGGAAGUCACUCCUGCAUUCCCAGAGCCUGCCACAUGGUGGCAGCAUAU